AAAAAGCUUCAGAAGUGCCGCUUAAAUGAUCAUCCCAGUUGAACUGAGAAUUUAUAACAAGUUCGACCCGCACAAGCGAUCUUGUGAUAGGUUGAACAUGUGCUUCGACGCUCAACCUUGGAAAAGACUGAACCAUGUUGUACACACGCCUCCCUUCUUUUGGCACCCCUACUAAUUCUCCUAAUUCAGCAGGGUCCAGAUCAAAGUAUCGCUGCCAAGGAAAUUCCUUUUUCUCAACGCGGCGUAUUACUUCAGAAGGACAAUUGGGAAACUGUCG